rnacentral:rRNA from 1 species
AGCAUGGCGGGCGUGCUUACACAUGCAGUCGAACGAUGAAGGGGGAGCUUGCUCCUCCGGAUUAGUGGCGAACGGGUGAGUAAUACGUGAGCAAUGUGCCCUUGACUCUGGGAUAAGCGCUGGAAACGGCGUCUAAUACCGGAUACGACCAUCGGAGGCAUCUCCUGGUGGUGGAAAGAACUUCGGUCAAGGAUCAGCUCACGGCCUAUCAGCUUGUUGGUGAGGUAACGGCUCACCAAGGCGACGACGGGUAGCCGGCCUGAGAGGGUGACCGGCCACACUGGGACUGAGACACGGCCCAGACUCCUACGGGAGGCAGCAGUGGGGAAUAUUGCACAAUGGGCGCAAGCCUGAUGCAGCAACGCCGCGUGAGGGACGAAGGCCUUCGGGUUGUAAACCUCUUUUAGCAGGGAAGAAGCGAGAGUGACGGUACCUGCAGAAAAAGCACCGGCUAACUACGUGCCAGCAGCCGCGGUAAUACGUAGGGUGCAAGCGUUGUCCGGAAUUAUUGGGCGUAAAGAGCUCGUAGGCGGUCUGUCGCGUCUGCUGUGAAAACCCGAGGCUCAACCUCGGGCUUGCAGUGGGUACGGGCAGACUAGAGUGCGG